ensembl:rRNA 5S_rRNA 5S ribosomal RNA
GUCUCCUGCCAUACCACCCUGAACAUGGACUCUCAUCUGAUCCCAGAAGCUAAGCAGGGUCCUGGUUAGUAAAUGGGUGGAAGAACAUGGAAGUGGAAGGUG